rnacentral:tRNA from 1 species
AGGGUUGUGGCUCAGGUUGGUAGAGUGCUUGCUUAGUGUGCAAGAAGCCCCGGGUUCAAUUCCCCAGUACUG